ACUGUGCUCACAGGACAGGACAGUCUGCUGAUUUGGACGGUGGGGGAGCGGCACGUCCAGCGAUGUGGGCGGCACGAUCUUGGAGAUGAGCAGCAGGAAGACGGUGAGCGCCAGCAGCACUGAGAUGCACAGCGUCAUCUUCUCGCCGCAGUCGGACGGCAGGUGGAGUCGUCGGGGUGCUCGUUGCGCCGGCCGGGCAGCGCCACGAUGUCCCACUCGCCGCUGGGGGUGAAGUCGUC